GAUGAACGCUAGCGGCAGGCCUAAUACAUGCAAGUCGAACGAGAUUAAGAGGCUUGCUUCUUAUGAAAGUGGCGCACGGGUGCGUAACGCGUAUGCAACCUACCUUAAUCAGGGGGAUAGCCCGAAGAAAUUCGGAUUAAGACCGCAUAAAAACACAGGAUAGCAUUAUCCAAUGUUCAAAUAUUUAUAGGAUUACGAUGGGCAUGCGUGUCAUUAGCUAGUUGGCGGGGUAACGGCCCACCAAGGCGACGAUGACUAGGGGAUCUGAGAGGAUGACCCCCCACACUGGUACUGAGACACGGACCAGACUCCUACGGGAGGCAGCAGUAAGGAAUAUUGGUCAAUGGAGGGAACUCUGAACCAGCCAUGCCGCGUGCAGGAAGACAGCCCUCUGGGUCGUAAACUGCUUUUAGUCGGGAAUAAACCUUUCUACGUGUAGGAAGCUGAAUGUACCGAAGGAAUAAGGAUCGGCUAACUCCGUG
rnacentral:rRNA from 1 species